rnacentral:tRNA from 1 species
GACUCUGUAGCUCAGUUGGUUAGAGCAUUGCACCGGAAUUGCAGGGCCGCAGGUUCAAUUCCUGCCAGGGACA